AACGACUCUCGGCAACGGAUAUCUAGGCUCUCGCAUCGAUGAAGAACGUAGCGAAAUGCGAUACUUGGUGUGAAUUGCAGAAUCCCGUGAACCAUCGAGUCUUUGAACGCAAGUUGCGCCCGAGGCCUUUAGGCCGAGGGCACGUCUGCCUGGGCGCCACGC
rnacentral:rRNA from 1 species